CAGCCGCGGUAAUUCCAGCUCCAAUAGCGUAUAUUAAAGUUGUUGCGGUUAAAAAGCUCGUAGUUGGAUCUCGGCGAACAGGGGGCGGUUCGUUAUUUGACGGUACUGCCCCAUUUGUUCGUAUUUUUGCAAGAGGGUUGGGGGUCCCCUUCAUUGGGUGUCUCCGGUCGCUUGCAGGUUUACUUUGAAAAAAUUAGAGUGCUCAAAGCAGGCUUACACGCUUGAAUAUUCGUGCAUGGAAUAAUAGAAUAGGAAGUCGUUUCUAUUUUGUUGGUUUUCGGAAAAUGACUUAAUGAUUAAUAGGGACAAUCGGGGGCAUUAGUAUUCAAACGACAGAGGUGAAAUUCUUGGACCGUUUGAAGACUAACUACUGCGAAAGCAUUUGCCAAGAGUGUUUUCAUUAAUCAAGAACGAAAGUUAGAGGUUCGAAGGCGAUCAGAUACCGCCCUAGUUCUAACCAUAAACGAUGCCAGCUAGCGAUCUGCGGGUGUGUAAAAACAAGACCCCGCAGGGAGCUUCCGGGAAACCAAAGCUUGUGGGUUCCGGGGGAAGUAUGGUUGCAAAGCUGAAACUUAAAGGAAUUGACGGAAGGGCACCACCAGGAGUGGAGCCUGCGGCUUAAUUUGACUCAACACGGGAAAUCUCACCAGGCCCGGACACCGGAAGGAUUGACAGAUUGAGAGCUCUUUCUCGAUUCGGUGGGUGGUGGUGCAUGGCCGUUCUUAGUUGGUGGAGUGAUUUGUCUGGUUAAUUCCGAUAACGAACGAGACUCUGUCCUGCUAAAUAGUAAGCUGAUUACUUUGUCAGCUUGUCUUCUUAGAGGGACUGGCGGAUUUAAACCGCACGAGAUUGAGCAAUAACAGGUCUGUGAUGCCCA
rnacentral:rRNA from 1 species